UACGUAGGGGGCAAGCGUUGUCCGGAAUCAUUGGGCGUAAAGAGCGUGUAGGCGGUCCGGUAAGUCCGCUGUGAAAGUCGGGGGCUCAACCCUCGAAUGCCGGUGGAUACUGUCGGGCUAGAGUGCGGAAGAGGCGAGUGGAAUUCCUGGUGUAGCGGUGAAAUGCGCAGAUAUCAGGAGGAACACCGAUGGCGAAGGCAGGUCUCUGGGCCGCAACUGACGCUGAGGAGCGAAAGCGUGGGGAGCAAACAGG
rnacentral:rRNA from 1 species